rnacentral:rRNA from 1 species
AGAGUUUGAUCCUGGCUCAGAGCGAACGCUGGCGGCAGGCUUAACACAUGCAAGUCGAGCGGGCGUAGCAAUACGUCAGCGGCAGACGGGUGAGUAACGCGUGGGAACGUACCUUUUGGUUCGGAACAACACAGGGAAACUUGUGCUAAUACCGGAUAAGCCCUUACGGGGAAAGAUUUAUCGCCGAAAGAUCGGCCCGCGUCUGAUUAGCUAGUUGGUGAGGUAACGGCUCACCAAGGCGACGAUCAGUAGCUGGUCUGAGAGGAUGAUCAGCCACAUUGGGACUGAGACACGGCCCAAACUCCUACGGGAGGCAGCAGUGGGGAAUAUUGGACAAUGGGGGCAACCCUGAUCCAGCCAUGCCGCGUGAGUGAUGAAGGCCCUAGGGUUGUAAAGCUCUUUUGUGCGGGAAGAUAAUGACGGUACCGCAAGAAUAAGCCCCGGCUAACUUCGUGCCAGCAGCCGCGGUAAUACGAAGGGGGCUAGCGUUGCUCGGAAUCACUGGGCGUAAAGGGUGCGUAGGCGGGUUUUUAAGUCAGGGGUGAAAUCCUGGAGCUCAACUCCAGAACUGCCUUUGAUACUGAAGAUCUCGAGUCCGGGAGAGGUGAGUGGAACUGCGAGUGUAGAGGUGAAAUUCGUAGAUAUUCGCAAGAACACCAGUGGCGAAGGCGGCUCACUGGCCCGGUACUGACGCUGAGGCACGAAAGCGUGGGGAGCAAACAGGAUUAGAUACCCCCGUAGUCC